AACAUAGCCGUGAAUGGGAGGCGCCUGCUUGUCUAUCAAUUAACCGGCUGUAGAUUGACCCUCAUCCUGCCCUCGUUGAAACAAGAAGUGGCUAAAAGAGACUGGUUCAAACUCUGCCAAGGCUCUCUGCCAUAGGCACCCUGGGCUACACUUUCUUUUCAAACUGCUGGAGCAGAGCCUUGUGCUAUGGAUUUUGCCCACAGCACACUGAGAGUGAUGUGUUGACAGACUGGAAGAUGCAACUUCAUAAUGGAAGGAAGCCUGGACUAGAAGUCAGAAGCCUCAGGCCUCAGCCCUAACACUAACCUUGGCUGUGGAAGGCAUUUAACACCCCUGGCAUGUGGGUGCCUCACAUGUGAAGUGAAAGACCUGGAUUAGCAAUCCUUAGUGUUACUUCAUCUCCACUAGCUAGGGAUUCUGUUGAGAAAAAGUAAACCAGUUGCCAGUUGGUCUACCAGAAGGAAGAAGAUAAACAGCGUGAAGGGUGAAGCGUACUGCACAGGUAAACCAAAGAGAUGGUGUAUUGUACACAUUUUCAGAUAAUUCAAUCACAGGUCACUUUCAAACUGCACAAGAAACUAAGAUCUAACAUUGUACACAACUAUUAAAAUCUGUGCAUGGGCCUUAUACAGAAAUCAAAUUUUAGAGACAGGCAUGUCAAAGAGGGGUCAACCCACCUUACCUUAACUGGGAACUGGUCAUUUUGCCUUUCU